AUUGAACGCUGGCGGCAUGCCUUACACAUGCAAGUCGAACGGUAACAGGUUAAGCUGACGAGUGGCGAACGGGUGAGUAAUAUAUCGGAACGUGCCCAGUCGUGGGGGAUAACGUAGCGAAAGCUACGCUAAUACCGCAUACGAUCUACGGAUGAAAGCGGGGGAUCGCAAGACCUCGCCCGAUUGGAGCGGCCGAUAUCAGGUUAGGUUGUUGGUGUGGUAAAAGCUCACCAAGCCUGCGAUCUGUAGCUGGUCUGAGAGGACGACCAGCCACACUGGAACUGAGACACGGUCCAGACUCCUACGGGAGGCAGCAGUGGGGAAUUUUGGACAAUGGACGCAAGUCUGAUCCAGCAAUGCCGCGUGCAGGACGAAGGCCUUCGGGUUGUAAACUGCUUUUGUACGGAACGAAACGGUGAGCUCUAAUACAGUUUGCUAAUGACGGUACCGUAAGAAUAAGCACCGGCUAACUACGUGCCAGCCGCCGCCGUAA
rnacentral:rRNA from 1 species